UCUCUAGGAACUACAGGUGGCGCAGUAUUCUAGUCGGUCGUCCAUCUCUGAGGGCGGGGCUAAAAAUCCGCCAAAGGGCACAUCGAUGAAGUUCCUGGUGUUGGCUUGAGGCGCCCAGCCUUGGGUUGAUACUGGGAGUUAAGGGGGCUGGGCAGCUCGCAAUGGCAUGCGAAGUGGCACCCAUCCCUCGCGGAGGCCCAAGUGCGUGGCCUGCUAUACAGCGGGGUUAUGGCUUGGGGUAUGAACCUGCAUGCGGAGCCAAUCUGUGUGCAGCGUAGCCUGCCUUGAGUGGUGCUGAAGGAUUUCGGGAAACAGGUGUCUUCUCCCCGGCCAGGGAGAACCGCUGGUGCUGAAUGAAAUCCGUACUGCAAAAGAGGCUAGGGGAUGGUAGCGAUUGCUGCGGAAAACGCCUAGACUGUUCGCCUAAGCGUAGCUCUUUGGGGAUUAUAGUGUGGACUAAGUGGUAAUUCAGUCCGACAGUUGGUGACACUGGCGAGGGAUGUUUAAAGGGAAACCGCCCGUGCGGCGACGCGCAGGCACGUCCUUGGGAAAACCUACUGGACCUAAGCCACAGCGUUUACCCAAAGAGCUGCCACCUGGCAAUAGUUGUGC
rnacentral:sRNA from 1 species